GCUGCUUUCUACAUUAUCGCAACUGCCAGAGCUCUUACUGCUGCAGUUUUCUAGUCGCAGUGCGGCAAAGCAGACGCAUAGAACCAGGCACAAAGCAGCAUAGAUUUUUUUUAUUCUUGCCUUUUUCAUACGAGGGAAAUUUUCCUGGUGUUAGCAUAGGAACAGACACGCAGCCUGGAUGUGUUGGCUUCAGCCUGGCAGCGUUUUCAGCUGAGCAGGGACUGCUCGGAGCUCUGUACCCAAACUGCCUCUGAGGAAGAACACCUGGUUUCCCACUUUGUGUACUAAGAGGGGUUUUUUUAUGCCACGCUGAUAUACCUGCAGCAAUAGGACAAAGGAGAUGGUACUUGUCACUGUUUGUCUGACUGGGGCCUUUGCAGGCACUCCACUGCCGAAGCCGUGCCAGCGUCCCAGGGUCAUAUAGAUUGGUAAUCCAGAUUGCCGCAAUUUCUUACAUCAGUUAGAGCAAAGCUCAAACAAGAAACCAGACUCUCUGACCUAAAUCAAUCCCAGUCCUUCUGGAUACAGGGCAGCAGUCGACUAGCAAUGACACAACCAGCCAUCAAGUGGAGAGUCUCUGGGAUUGCAAUCUGUAUCAGUUGGAGUCUGAGAGAAUGAAACCCUUUCGGUUAUCCAGUCGCUUCUCCUUCUUCUAAUACUACAAUUACUACAACUACUACUACUUCUGUUUUUCUUGCCUGUAAGAAGCUAUUAACUGUGCUUGGUCUCUGAGUGUAUAUUUGCGUGGAUUAGUCUGCCUAUAAUGCAGUCCUUAUCUGCUCCUGCUGGAAAUCAGGGCACGAAGUCAGCCUGCUUUAACAGUUGUUUCUUUCUGCGUGAUGCUAUGCAACUAGAAUGGGUUACACUGACAACAAAGGAACAAGCACAAAGCACCACUUUCUUUGCUGGACUGUUACAGGAACAUAACUCUUCUUCGAUAUGACGCCCUGGUCUCUUCUCUUUGCUGGUUUGUUGGGUUUGUUUUUUUUUUUUAAAAAUUCAUCUAAUUGAAGAGCCUAGCAGACACCAUCGUGGAUGUGGUUUUUAAUGAUUUGGAAAAGACAGCCUGUGGAGACUGCGAUUUGAGACAGCAACACAUUUAGGUUAUUGCCAAUUUGAAAUACUUGGUUUGUGAAGCACAGCCCUAAGGGACGAGCUCAGUAACUGAGAAAGAGAUGGUAGAUAAAGAAAUAAAAAUGACAAGCGUAAUGGAGGCUCUGCAAAAGAGACUGUCAGAGAAUCAGUUCAUGGAUGGCAAUUUCACCAGUCUGAAUCUGAAUAAUUCAUAGAUUGAAAUUACCCUGCUUUCACCUUUCCAUUUAAACCGGCAUGAUCUGAAUCUCUAAUAAAUUUUCAAGAUAAAGUAAAAUGCCAAUUUGAAUCUGAAGAGCUUUUAAAACCAGAUGCUACACCCUGAAUCUUUCGAUACCUUUCACAAUUAUCCUGUGAGAACCGCACUUCAUCACGAAGCACCAUUACCAGUGAAAAUUACUGUGAUUACAAUAGCAACAAUAGAAUACCAUCAAAUGAUCUCUAAUUUACCUAAUUUACCAAGGCUGACUGUGUGCCCAUUGUGUUUCACUACGUCUGGCAUUGGAUCAAUAUCACAGUGGAACAAAAAUGCCUUAGUGUGUGCUUCCUUUUGGUACCUUUAACUUUGACAGCACAGGAAAAAUCUAUCUACUGUUAAAUGUUUUUACAGCCAAUCUACAUGCCUGCUGUAGGAUCUGAUUGAUUCUCCAUGAUUUUCUUUAGUUCUUGGGUAUUGGAUGUCAUUGUGUUACUAAUUUGUUUAUAACGUAUACUCAUGCACAAAGGCUGCAGCAAACGAGUACCAGCAGAGAGACCCUGCACUGCUGCUGCAGUAGCAGCGCUCUCGCAGGGGAAGCCAAACCGACUUCGGUGCCUUAUGUGAAUAAUUACUCGUGUCUGAGUUAGAAAGGCUUUCUAGCAUCACCGGUCUCGGUUGUACUACGUGAAAAAUGUAUGCAAAAGCCAUGGUCAAGAAAAACGAUCGCGUGUAAUACUAACAAGAUUUUUCCCCUAUUCAGCAAUUAGCAUGUGGUCGUGAGAGACAGGCUGCGGCUCCUUCUGUAGAUGUGUGUCUGUAGGUACGCGUGCACAUUCAUAAAUGUAAAGACACUGUGCUUUGUGAAUAUGUGCCGAUCACUGAAAGUAACAACUUUUUCUGACAAGCCAGGCGCAGUGUUUUGCCACAAUCUGCUGGGUUGUAACAAAUCCCUGGUUUGGAGGUGUAAAUUUCCUAUAGGAUGAUGCAUGACUUCUGGAACAGUAAGUACCAUUUAUGCAAUAUGCUGGUGCCUAUAGCUACGCUACAGACUAGUAUUUUAAGCAUAGUUCGAGUCCUUGUAGCAUAACCACAAUGUGGAGAAGUGAGAAACACGUACAGAAGGCUAGAAACAGGCAUUCUUCAUGGAGACGACUGUAUCUGCUGCCUGUAUGUGUGUGAGUUGUACACUUCAGGCUUGUUUUUCGUUUUAUAACCAGAUUUACUCAGCCUUCAGGGAAUAUUUUCUAAGGAAGGAAGGUAAGCAGUAUUUCUUCUUAUUCAUAUGACUGUGUUGUAUUUCUUUGGGGGAAAAUGCAUGUUUGUAGCACAUAGUUACAUAAUACAGCAUGAUCUCAUGACAUCUAAUUAAAGGUUUCAGUAUUUGUUCAUGUUAAAACUGGACAGGAAAGCAGAUUUAAAAUAUGGCUUUUUAUUCAAAAUACACUUGUAGAAAUGCUACGCUAAAAAGAAUUUAACGAUUGGGUUUGUAUUCAGAUUUGACUCUAAUGUCAUUAAAUAAGAGCCUAUUCUACCUCAAUAAUAAUGUUCUUGAAACCUUUAGAUUUUAGAUAUUUUGUCUUCUUAAAACACAAUUUACUGUACCUCUGCAUUUUCUGUAUAGGAGUGGAGCCUGUUCUCUAGAGGUAGAAGAGCCAGAAGAUUUUACAGCUUGAGCUGUGAUAACAAAGGAAUUUGAAAGGGCACAAAAUAUGAUUAUAGAAAAAUCUUGAAUUUUAAAUUAUUCAGUAAUGUGAUUUAGCAAACUGUUUUUCUUAGACAACAUACUCUCAAGUUACUACACUAUCUGGAUUUAAUUAGUCCAUUCACUGCUAUAUUUAUAUUCUUCAUUUUCACACAGUAUUCAAAACUUAACAAAGAAAAAUCCUUGUGCACAGCAAAGACUGAAACUCUGGUGAAAGUGUAAAACCUACAUUGUGUUACUGGGGUAAUAAAAUCAAGAGAUUCAGACUCAACUUUGCGGAAAAGAACUAGGUGUUUUGGUUUAACUGUUUUAUGAUGAGCAUUUCAUGUUUUUGUGUAUGCAAAAAUAACAUAUACUGAUAUAACUACCAUACUGCAAGGACCAUGCAAACAGGAAUGUGAAUGUUUUGCAAAACACCAUACAAACACCUGCUAGCAUUUACAUUAUUGUUAUUACUGCCACAAUCUACUAGUAUCCUAUACUCUCUUGAAAUGGUGGUCUGUUAACCAUUUUGAUUCUAUGGAGUAUUUGCAAUCAGCAUUUUUUUAUCAGUCUUAUCUGCUGUGACAGUCUGUAGAGAGUGGCUGGUCAUGGGGUGCUAGGUGUCCUCAUUAAGAACUGCAGGGCAGAUCUAAUAUAGAGUUUACAUGCUGUUGAUGGCUUCAUUUAAGGCCCCGAUCCAAAUCGUUUUGGGGAUCCACGCUGGAGUCCUCUAACUUACUUUGUGUUUGUAUUACCGAAUUUUUAAUGUGCCAUUGGCUUUCUCCCACUGCUCUAUACUGGCCUCACCUUUCAAAAUAUGCAGUGCUGGUCAGGCCUAAGGCUGUUUCUCAGUGUAAGUCGCUGCAGAAGUUGCCAGAGGAUGUUAUGACAGUGCCCUCACGAGGUGAGGUUAUCUGUGAGACUCUGUGAUGAAGUACUCUGAAAAAAUUUGAAAGCCUCAGGAAGUAAACUCUGCCUUUUAGGCUGGUGUGUGUUUCAAAGAAGGCAGGAUUGCAGUCUGCCAGUAGGAUAGACUGCACAUGCAAAUGGGGAAAAAAAGCAUUAAAACCUUUUCAGCCACAGGAUCAUGAAAUAAUAUUAGCAAUAUUACCUCAUAAAAAGCAUUAAAAUAUAGUCAACUGUAUCAUCCAUAUAUUUUCUGAUAUGGCUACAGCUAAUCAGGUACAGCUACAGCUGAAGUGUUUAAGAUGUAUAAUUGUAUGUGUCGAAAUAAAUGGCAGACUGUGCAAUACUAAACUUCUAACAUAAAGCCACUAACUUUAGCAAUAUUGAUUCAACAGUAAAUCUUCAUUACAUCACAAGAUGUAUUAGUCUGGUUUUGUGCUUAUGUUUUUCACUGCGUUACACUUGCCUAUAAAUGAAUCUGCAAUGGCAAAGUAAGGGCCAAAACACUUCCUUUACAUGAGUUCCCAAUUAAAUGCAAAUAUUCACUUGAGUAAAAUUCCCUCUAUGCGUUUGGUGGACCCAUGCCCUCAUCUGCAGCUAGGCAGCGAUCAUGAUGCAGUGGCACAUGUGAAAAACCUACUGGAGCCCAUCCUAUUACCACUGAAUUUAAUAGCAAGACUCCCUGUGUCAUCUUCAUAAAAGAUGGAUUAAUUAAUUGCCUUCCAUUACAGCCUUCCUGUGAAAGUUGUUGCUGUUUUUUUCUGUCUUGAUUGUAAGAGUCCAGUAUAGUUGACACAACGUUGAAGAGAAGAUGCUUUCUGUUCACCAGGACACGUGACCUGACCUGAGCUAAACGUACACUGAAACCAGCAACUCAGGAAUGGUUUAUUUGCAAAUUGAAGGGGCCUGCUUGCCUGUAGUUUUGUUGAUAAUAUUAGUGCUCACUCACUUGUCAAUUCUGCAUUCUUAUCAGCUGCGACAAAACACACAAGUUCUGAUCUGUAAUGGUUGUAUCUGUUUGGACAAGAGCCCUGAGGAUAGGAGGGUCUGUUGUGGGUUUGGGUUUUUUUCACCUUACAGUUGCUUUGAAUUAAUUGCAACUGCCUGUGGAAAUAUGAUCCCCUAAGAAUGUAGAGAAAUGCAUUAUUGAUAAGUAUGUAUAAAAUAUCUCUAGAUUCCUCUGCACUCUGGCUGCUGUGAAUUUCACACCAUUAUUCCCAGUCAAAAGUGUUAGGAGGAAAGUGAGACUGAAGUAACUUGAAAGGAUAACAGCAGCAUUUCCAAACCAACCAUUUCGACAUAGGAAAUUCAGAGUUAAACAGAAGAAAAUCCAAAUGGGUUCAUAGAUACAAUUAAAAUAUCUAAGCAGCUUACUCCCUUUUUGCUGCCAUGUGAUAACUGCAGGAUUUGAUAGAGGUAAAUAAUUUUGCCAUUUCAGUUUAUAUUAUAUAGAUACAAUCAAAAACCACCUUUGGCUUUUAAAGUAUUUGCAUCACGUUUCACAGUAUCAGUUCAGUUUCUUUAUGGACUAUAAACGUAUACCUGCUCUGUGCUUUUAGCUACAUAACUGUAACGUAACCAAAAGUUCUGAAAAUUGAAUGAUUUCUGACUGACCAAAAGGGGGAAAUCAAUUCCGAAACGGGAAUUGCAGUGGAGGCAAUGGGUUUCCCAGGUCUCAUGCCAACAGAGCUUCUUGUUGUGGGUUUUCUAGAUCAGGUUAAAGUCCUCAUUGUGUUAGAAUUUGUCCUAAUGAACACAAAGUUAAAAAUGAGUGGGAAUUCAAAAUAUGUCCCCAUUUGUGCCUGAAAAAUUGCGCUUUUUUCUCUAACUACAUCUGAUACUCUUUCUGCCACAGGUCUUGUCUCAAAGUUUACCAGGGAAUUGUAUCCAAAAGCAUAUUUGCAAUAAUAUACCUCAUUCGUAGCUAGUCAUGCAUAGCCAAGCACACACAAUGAAUUAACACCUGUGGAAAAUGCUAAAUUGGGAAAUGCUGUUAAAAUGGGAAAAAAAAAUUUGAUAGAUUGUAGAAUUGCCAUUGUACUGUUCACUUAUACUCAGUAUUUCACAGAGAUUGUGCAGAAGUGAACGUACAGUUAAAUUAUACGCAGUGAAAGGUUCAGUAGGAAAAAGCCUUUUCUCGUACUCACCCGUUUCUGUUUCUUCUGCCUCCUAUGUUCAUUCAAAAACCGUCUCCAGUGGCACAACAGUCACAGCAACUGGCCGCCCCUCUGACCUGCAGGCAGUAAGUGAUGGUAAGAAGCUUCACCAAGGUGGGAAACGGAGGAGAUCCCGCAUCCUCUGCUCCUAACGGCAAUGCCCGGGUUGGCGGGGCUAGGGGAGAGGAGGUGCUCUGGACUGUGCUGCUGAAGAACUGCUUUUAAAGGCCUAAAGAAGACACUGAAGCAGAUAUAUAGGUGCAUUUGCAUCUGAUGUCACUGGGAGUUAAAGACACAAAAUACCUCAAAAGACUGGCCUCUCACUCACGUGCCUUUGGUCCUCAUCUCAUGAGGUAGACUGGACAAGGAUCAGCAAAUGGUGACUUAGGUCCAGUCCUUAGCAAAUGAGGAGGGAUGGCCUCUGGCAGGAGACAGGAACACUGGCAUUUCUAAGAGACAAAAAGCAGCCACCUAAAGCUCUAGGCUUAGCCAGAUACACUUCCCGCACUGAGAAUAUCCCAUUCAAAACGUGUACAGGGAACGUUCUCUCUUCAGCUCUCUCUCUGACUGCAAGCUUUAAUUUCUGCUGAAACAGAAGGGGUGUUCUCAUCAUGCUUAACGUUUAAGAAUGUCUUUCUCAAUUUCCAGGUAACCUGAAGCCUGAGUGGUUACAGGCGUAUUGGAUCCCACACCUUGGCAGAGGAUUAUUUCUGCAUGUAUUCUGGGACAGCUCAGCACUGAAGACUUACAAGCAAAAAAAAAAAACAAAACUUGAUUCUGCAACAGUUUGUUUAGAUUCCUUCAAGGUUUCAAGGAUUUCUUAAAGUCCUCAAGGGGCAAGACAAGCAAAUUGAUCAGGAUAAAGCCAGGUUUCAAGUCUUUGCUUGUCUAGACGUAAAGCCUCUUUCACUAAAAUGGAGCAUGGGGGAAGACAAGGAAGUCUUUUAAAACAAGAGUUUCAUUCAUUUGGGCAUUACCGUAAUUACGCUACUGUCUUAAAUGCUCUGAGGUUGAUGGUGCUUGUGACCUUCCCAGUAUGUUUCGUAAGGGGGACAGUAUAACCUUGCACUGCCCCAAAACAGAACUGAGCCCUUCCAUCUAUUAAAGCUGUCUUAGGCAAUUCAGUGAACACUGUAAUGGCUCCUUUAUAGGCCUCGACUUGUAUUUGAUAGUAUAGGGCACAUUCCAAGGAAAAUGGGGAUAGUUCCUGUGUUUUGCCUACUUACUGCUGUUGUAGCAGCUUGAUGUAAAAACUGGUAACAAAAUAGAUGGUGCAUUUUGUUAGCAGCGCCCAGCCCAACAACCACACUAAUGAUAUUGUAAUUAUAUCAGGGAUGCAAGUUUGCUUUUAAAUAGAUUUCACCUGGCAUCUGCAAUAUGUGAAUUUAGAAAAAAAAAAAAAAAAAGUAUUUUUUCAAGUUUUAAUUUCCUCCAGAAGCAUAUAAUAAUUCACUGCCUUCUCCUCUCCUUCAGGUUAGCUCUCAUCACCGCAGAUACAGCUAGAAGUACGUAUCUUUUGGCUGAAGUUUGCUUGCCUGCCGAACUGCCAGAGCCUUUCAGGGUACAUUUCAGAAUGUUGUGGUUUACAGAACUUGACAUGAGUUAAAGAUCUCUUGGACAAACUCAUCCAUCAGGACCUAUUAAAUAGAAAGACUCUACCUCUGACUUUGGAAGUCAUAUCACUAGAAGCUGGGAAUAUAAGGCAGGUAGCUAUCACUACAUGCUUGUCAUUUUAUAAUAAUCUUUAGUAAACAUCCUCCACUUUUCACCACUUUUCAUCACUUUUGGAUGUGAUGGCCCAGGAUACCGAGCUAGAUGGAUCUUUUUUAGCCUGAGCUGGGACAGCCCUUCUUGCAUCCUGCUUUUAAGUAGCUCAUGCAGUUUGUGGAAAGCCUUCUGUGGAUUCAUUUGAGUCAACCUGAACAACAAGAGUCAGAUAAAGGACUCCAAACAGAAUUAAGACUGAAAAUACUAGGAGGAGGUAACUAAUUGAGCAGGAUCAGCAACUCAUGUAAAGAAAAGAUAAAGCAGAAGUACACUUGCAUAUAGUCUUUAACUCUUGAAGUAAAAAGUGGCACCACACAUGAGAUGACAGAAAAUAAUUCUUCAUCCCUGUAAAAGAAAAAACCACUCUCUUCUUCCCAGCAGGUGAAAUGACAAGAAAAUUGCAAUGUGUCCUUAAACUGAAAGAAGCUUAAUUCUCAGAUCAAAUCUAUAUCAACACAAUUUUAAAAAGAGCUCUGCAAGAGGAUGAAUAAGUAUGCAUAGAAAAUGAAGAAUAUAUUAAUAUACGGAAGUGCAAAAAUCAGAGAAACUUACCAUUACCCUUCUUCUUUUUUUAACUAACUGAAGUAAUCCCAUAGCUACAUAAGCCAUAUAAAAGUGGUCUUCGUCAUGUCAGUCCUCUGUCGUGAAAAAUGAUUGAAUAUAAAAUAUUAUUUCAUAUUCGUUCUAUAAGUGAAAUCCUCACAUAAUAUGAAUUGCCUAAGGUUCACUGACUUCCAUAGAACUAUGACAAGUCACGCAGCUGAGGAUCUGCCCAGCGUGUACCAUGUUGGCUGACACAGCAAUGUCAUAAAUCCAGCCUUGAGGAAAUUGCAGUUUUCAACAAGCUCAUUGCAUGCGAGACUGUUAACUGACCAUUUACUGAGAUUCUCGUAAACCAACCUCUACAGGCCGAAGGGAAGAAGAGAGAAGCAAUGGUACAGAGCCUGCAGUUUCCCUUUCCUGCAGCCCCUUGCUCCGAGGGGGCUGCCUAAGACCUACACAAUAAAGCAAUAAAGUAAGCCAACGCAGAUGUGGGAUCUGCAGCUUUCGUCUUCAUGGAUAGCGGUAUGCUGUUCAGCCCCCACUGUCGUGGGGCUGAAGUGACCCAAAGCCUCUCUGAACCCAAGCUAGGAAGGGAGGAGUUUCUCCCACUACCAGCACCUGUGAAUGAACACUGUAAAGCCCAGUUGCCAACCCCCUCCUUAAAUGCUGGAAGAUUUAUUCACAGUUAAACCCGGAUGUUUUCUAAAUUGACUGUCAUCAUAAAAUUAUCUCAGCCAACAGCAAAGAUAGGACUGAGCUGCUGUCCGGUGACUUUCCCUCUCAAGUACCUUCAGAGGUUCUUCCACCUGACAAACUGCUCCAGUGACAGGAUGCUCUCAUGAGAUUCAUCACUUGCUUCGAAGUCACCAAACCUCAGGCCCAUCACAAUUUUAGAGCCCUCUAAGAAAUUAAUCCUUUAAUUGUCGUUCUCGGUUUAUCCAAGAAUUUGCAACUUCUGUAUGAAUUCCUUGGCCAAAUUCGGUAAUCUUGUUAAUCUCAACCCCCGUAUUUCUGUUUCUUUCAACUUUGGCUAGCAAAAAUUCUCACAGUGCUCCUUCCCAAGAGGGACAGAAACCUUCUGUUCCCUUUUUCCCAUACACUCAAGAAAAUAUCCCUGACCAUACAUGCUGCUUCUACAUUUCUUCCCAGUGAAACCCUUGAGACCUAAAUAGCUCACUUCCAGUUGUCCACCUAAAUUUUCCUUUACUCUAAUUUCUAGGUCAACUAACUGCAGAAAAUAAUUUAAACUUUAUAAUUUAUAGGAAAAGUUUUGCUUUGAAAUAAAACGCAAAUAUUUUUUGCAUUUUCAACCGCUGAAGCAGAAUUGUAGUCAUUUAGCAGACAUUAUAACUUGAAGUUAACCAGUAUGUUUUUUCAGGACAUACAGCUAGAGAGAAUUUUUCCAUUGUAACGCAAUUCCCUAAUGAACCAUAGUUAACAUACUAGGUUGCUUUCUGUGUAACCUUGAAACAAAAUACAAAAGGUAUUUCAUUAUUGUAUGAAAGCAAUAUGUAAACAUGCAAAUGUUUCCUGUUGUUAUAAGUUUUAAGGAAUGACUUCUGUAAGCAUUUAUCUAUAGUACAUCUAAAUUAAAUAGCCCUGCUAGAAGGAAGAUAAAACAUUUUGUAUUCAUUUAGUCAUUAAACAGAAUCAGGAACAGUUGCUAAAAUAAUGGAUCCUGAUUAUUCAUUACCAUUAUGCUUUACUUGUUGGAAUAGAUACCUGAUAAGAAUCGUACCAGAACUAUAGCUGCUAAUGAAUGAUUAAAGGCUAGGGAGCAGAUGCAAAGGGAAAGUAGAACAACAAUACCUCAUUUGUUUUUUUCUGGGGACGCUUAUGUGGUUGUCCUUCAUUUUCUUCUACUGAGUUUUGCUUUCAGAUCUCUACAAUAUAAUGGACUGAACUAGGACUGGAUUUGGACUCUUUUCCAUCUUGUGGAAAGCUUCUUUCCUGAACCAUGACAAAAAAUUCAAAACCUUGACAAAGUUUAUGAACUAAAAGUACUAAUAAUGUCAACAAUGUCAAUAGAAAUAUUUUAUUUAGGUGAUUUUUAAAACAUUUCAACUGCACUAUAAUUUGCUUAUGUUUUGUAACUGAAAGCCAUUUUACAGAAAACCAAAAUGUUUGAAGUGUCAAAAUCCUGUUUUAUCAAAUUCAGUUUUUCAGGGCCUUGAAAUCUGAUUUGACCUAUUUCCUACAAAGUUUUGGCUUAGACAAAUAAAGGCAUUUUUGGAUGAAAUUCAUUUUGUCAAAAAGCUCCAAACUAGCUUUGCUGUCCAUGGUAGUCCAUACAAAUAUCACAACAAACUUCUGGUAUAUGCAACAGCUUAAUCAGCUGGAACUUGAGUAACACACAGACACGUAUCUAACUGAUCCCCAGAUGACUAGGAAAUCUGUGUCCCAUAUGCUGCUUAAAAAGGGAGGUCUUAAAAUUUAAUUAGACAGGAGAAAGAAACAGAGCUUGCUUUUUUUUUUUUUAAUCAUCAUUCCAUUUUUUUUCACUUUGUCUAUUUAAACCCCAUAUAUUCACCUAAUCCACAGAUUGCUCUGCAACUGCUUACAAGCUUUGUCGUGUACUACCUAAAUUCACCUAGAAUUUUGUUUUGUUGGCAUCCCAAGAAUUCAGGUCACAGAAAAACCAACCUGAGAACACAGGAGAUGAGUAAAACCAUCAUGGACGAACACACAUGCUUGCCUGCAUGGGAAAUUAGCAUGCAGUCAUUUACAGCACAAACGUAUACUUCACCAAAUCAGUGUCUUUCAGUCUUUAUCAGUCUGAAGGCUCUUACUUUUCUUUUUCUUCCCAGUGGAAGCACAGAGCUUUAUGUAGUGAAUCAAAGCUCCCUGACUCUUCAUAGGUAAAUUUUCACAGACCUCUUAUAAAAAGCUCACAGACCUCCACGAUCCGUGGAGUACGCAUGGAAAGCAGCACCAGCACCAGCGCUCCAAACUUGUUCCACAUAGAAACUCUUUAUAGUGCACAAAGACUGUGAAGUACCUUUACACCACUUUCAAAAGACCCACCUUUUUCAAGUUCAACUAAUUUCUAGUUACACACACAGAAAUGUGUUUGUAUCAUCUAUCAUUAGAGAGCUGAUUGAUUAUAUAGUCCCAUAGUCCUGUGUUUUCUGGUUCUAAUUGAGGGGAUUUUACCCAACCAGUUUAAGAAAAUUUCCCUCCUGCUCAGUAAAGAAUUGUGCCUGGUGGUACGAAAUAGAAAUGUUACUACAUUUCUUGGGCAUAAUGAAGUGCUCGUGGCAUCAGCAGAGACUUUGACUUUAUACAUAAGGCUUAUUAAGACUUAGUUACCUUUUAAGGUGGUCGGAAAGCAAGCAUAGAGCAUGAAGAGCUCUGCCAGAGCAGCUUUAUCAAACCCUACAGUGGCAGUUCAGGGGAUUACCAGCUGCAGCUGUCUGCCUUCUGCAGGGGGGCAUGCCAGCCCUCAGCUGCUCCUGUUGCUCUGCUGACUGCAGAGCAUGUACAAACUCAGUUGGGUGUCCUUAUGACACCCGCACAUAAAAAGCAAGAGGAAAAUCCAGUGCCUGGAAAAGACCAUCUCCCUGAUCACAAGGCACAGACAGUUAGCUGUCCUCUAGCAAAUCCAGCCGCGGUUAUCCCUGCAUUGAACUGGUUGUGAGAGUGGGUUCGGGUUAAAAAUAAUCAGAGCUUUUUUGGGGGUGUGGAGGGGCAGGGUUUGGAUCCAGGUUGUCGCAAGGCCCCAUAAACAAUUUUACAAGAACAACUGAAGGAGGUCACAGGCUGGGAAUGAGCAGCUGGGGGCUGUUACGAUGGCAUUGUCAGUGAAUGGCACCGCUUCCCUGAAUUUUCACUGAAACAUAGAGCUUGAGCGUUCAGAUAAUGAGCCGUGACAUCUGAGAUAUGGGAGCGGUACCAAGCAGAUGGGCCAAUACCUGCUUAAAGUGCUCUAGCUCGAGUCACUGAAAAGGACAUCUGUCUCUGCUCUCAGACUGGGUGCCUUAGUGACCCUGCCGCAGCUGGGCAUCAAGAACUCUUCUGUGUGUUUAUGAACGGGUGUUUUUCAGAAGCCUGUACUCUGAGUGGUAUUUUGAAUGAAUUUUCACAAGGCAGCCAAAAAAUCUCCUGCUGUCAGAUGGGCCGAAUAUCAAGUCCUAGUUGCAACACACGGAGGUACUACAGCUCCUCAGCAAAACAGUUGCAAAAAUAUUUUUAAGAUGCCAAACCCAGCAACCUUUUCCCUUAGCCUUGUUCAGUAAAAUGAUUUUAUCUGAAACUUUUCACUCUGAGGCACACAAUAGUUUUGGAGAUUUCAGCCCCCAGAAUGAAAGUUUAGCGCAGUUAAUGGCAUCUGAAAUUUGAAUUCCUGAAGGCAAAUGCUGGACACCUGUGGCUACAUUAUCCUUUAGUCUAAAAAGUUACCCUGUCUCUCCCUUCCUCUCUUCUUGUAUCAAACCCCAGACCAUCAUAUUUUUCUCAGUAGCACUUGGGCCAGCCUACAACACUAAAAGCAUAUAGAAAUGACUAAUAUGAAAGGGCUGAAUAAAAGGCAUUUAAAAAAUAAACCAGAAAUAAAUCAUGACUUAAGAAUAACUGUUUUGUUUGCUUGUCACUAGACAUCUGUUCAUAGACACUGCAAAUGUUCCACUUUGUGUCUGGGUUUAAUAGUAACAACUUUGCAGGGAUGCCUUCUUCUUCCUCAUUGUUUUCACUUGGUUUCUAGGGCAAACAAAACAAUUUUUUUCAGCCCUUUAAUAAAUUAAAGCUGUUAUAGAGUUAGAAGUUAAAAAACUGCAUAGUAUGGAAACUUAAAUCCAGCAAGCCUCAGAAUGCGUCAAAGGUCACUAUAUGCACAGAUUCAAACUCUUUCUUGCUCCCUUCCUCCCUGGUAAUCCCCAGGACCUCUCUGUCGUGACUGAGUAGAAUGCAGGGCAAAACUUGACCUGAAAAAUGUGGAGCUAGCCAUCCUCAUCCUCCUCUCCCCCUGUCAUCUGCUGACAGACAACAAAGUGUACUGAAUCCGAACUGUUUAUUUUGCUGGGAAUGCCAUCUGCGUGGUGGCAGCUGGGGCGGGAGGGAGGGCACAUAGAUGAAUGGACAGCGACAAAUAUAGACAGUAGACAAAAUUAGGAGAAGUUCUGCUGCUUUCCAGUGUUCUGGAUCUUUGCAUGCUUCCAUUAAGAGGAUACAGCUCUUCUUCAACUGGUGUUUGAACAUCUGGAUUAUUUAGCAAGACAGCAAAUUCAGAACAUUUGAACAGAGAUGUCAGACAAGCCAGUUUGGGCAAAAUGCUAAGACUACUGAAAAUGCUGAAGUAAUUUACGGUUAUAUUCUAUUUUUAACAUAUUACAGUAUACUGGAACUAGCAAGGGGGAAAAAAGAAGAUAAGUAAGUAUUGUCAAAAGGAAUAUGUCACAAAUCAUCCAAAAUGAAAAAUCAGUGAAGAUCUGGAGAGAAUGUUUCUUGCAGACCAAAGAUAAAAUCAAUGUCUGCAUCAUUGACAACUGAACCUGAAUUCCACAAAGGAAUUUCUGGCAUAACAUUUUAAUUUCCCAUUGCUAUUCAGAAUGAUCACUUACAUUUGCAUUAUCCCUUUUCGCUGUGUUACGGAAAAAAUAAUUCAACAAUUAAAACCCCAUCUUAACGUAUUCAGUUCUGUAAAUAAGAUGAUGUCAGAGGAAAUUUGAGAGAUUGAAAUUUUGCUCGUAUCUCUUCACUAGCAGAUUGCUAGCAACAUCUUGUCUACACAGAAUCACAGAAGGCUAAGGUGGGAGGGGACCUCUGGAGACCGUCAGGUCCAACGCCCUGCUCAAAGCAGGCUCUGCAAGGCAGAAGGUUGCUCAGGGCCACGUGCAGUUGCGUUUCAAAUUAUCUCCACAGACAUAGACUCCACAACCUCUCUGGGCAACCUGUUCCAGUGUUUGGCCAACCUCAUGGGAAAAAAGUUUCUUCUUCUGUUUAAAUGGAAUUUCCUUUGUUUCAGUUUGUGCCCAUUGCCUCUUAUCCCUUCCCUGGAUACCAGUGAGAAGAGCCUGGCCCUGUCUUCUUUGCUCCCUCCUAUCAGGUAUUUAUACACAUGGAUGAGAUCCCCCCUAAGCCUUCUCUUCUCAAGGAUAAUAUAUUAAUAAAUAUUAGUAAAACAUUAAUAAAAUAUUUAAAAAUAUAUGUUUACUUACUUUGGAAGCAUUUCAGAAGAAUCUUGGCUGAUUUGUCCACAGUUUUCACAUUGAAUACAGCUCCCAAGAUCCUUUUUAGGCAAGUGCCACUGUUGUUAGGAGUUUCAUCUACUGCAGCAGGAGACCUUACUUCAGCAAUGUUGUAUACUUUCAAACUAUAUGUAGGUAAGUCAUUCGGUAAGACAUUCUCCUCUUCCCUUAAGUGUUUAAUUAGAACAGACACACAUUUCAACCUUUUUUAUCUCACUCUUGGGGUUUUUCUAAAGUUCCUUAAAUUUAAGAGCAAUCAAUAACAAGAAGUAAGCUCAGUCCUUGAGCAAGUCUAAAGCUGCACUACACCUGAAGGAACUAAACCACACAGAAGCUUUUUCAUGCACUGUAAUUUAUGGAAGUUGGAUUCACAUCCCUAACUUGAUUUGCCUUAACCUUCUUGGCUGUCCUUAUUUAGAAGUGCCUGGAAUUAAAGAUUUCAUGUUCAGUGCUGCAGUUCUCCAUGUGCAAGACUUAAAAGAGAAGGAAAGGACAUGUCAUACUGGUAAACAAACUUAGCCAAUAUUGGUCCACUUUAACAAAAUCUAUGUAAUCAAAAGUGUAAAACUAUAUACACAUCAGUUACAAUAAGCUUGUCACCCUACCUUCCCUUCAGGUUUUCUAAAAUGUAGUUCUAUGUUGCCAUAAUAUUUGGCUAUAGUGCAAGAUAAGACUUCCUCUGUCAUGAUAAUGCAGACAUAUUUUCAUUUAAGCAUUAAAUCUUUCAAAGCUGAUACCCCAUGCUGAUAAACAGGUUUCUCAACAGACAGCAUGAAGUUCACAUCACCAGCAGUACAUAUCUAAGCUGGCUGUGGAAAACCACACAGCGGCUACCCCUACAAGGUUGCAGUUCCAUGUCUCCCUUCAGGUGACUUAACUGCUCAGUGACCAGCCAGCUCCCUCCUCCCCGCUGGUAGAGUUGUCCCACCUUCAUCAUCUUUGCACCACCUUCGACACCCGCUGUCAAGACACUUCUGCACGGUCGCCUACCAGAAAACCACCAGGUCUCUCUCUUCUGGGUCAGAUUCCUGCUGGCUUAGCACACCGAAACAGUUCCGUGACCAGGGUCAGCCAGCGCCAAGCCGGGCCACAGUGUCAAGACCUGACUGUCUCUCUAGUCUGGGUGACUCCCCCAGAAUAUUCCAGGGGUAUUGGGAAAGUGAGCAGGAAGUGCCUUGCUUCAAAAAUGGGUCCCAAAUGCCCGGAGAGCAGCUGAAACAAGAGGAUGGCAUGCUAACAAAUGAGCUAAUUGUAAGCAUCAGUCAGUUUAUAAACACUCCGCAGUGUUCGAAUAAUUUCAAAGGAUCUGUUUAUUUGAAAUACAAGCCACAGAUAGAUUUUCAUAUAAGUUUUGGAGUCUCAUUUCUGAAAGCAAAUCAUACUUCCAGAACGUCCUAAAUAUAAAUUAUUAUGCAUAAUUCUCCUCUACAGUGUUCAAGAUGGAUGGGUAAACAAAGGUGAACUAACAUACAUUACAUAAAAAUGAAGAAUAACCAACACUGCCAGUUUUCUAUGGGACAUAUAUCACAGCCAUUCAGCUACUUCAUGCGGGCUCAAUUUCUGGCCUUGGUGGAGCAAUUCUCUUUGUCCUUUGCAGUUUACCAUAAAAUCUUCCAAUCUGAUUAAUAACUUAGAAUUUUUCUUCAGGAAGAACCUGGAACCACAGGUCAUCUGCAAUAAAAAGGAAAAAGGUUUUCCACCAGCCACAGUGAGUGGUUCACAGAACAGCAAAUAAAGCACAAGCAGAUUAUCAUGAUACCUUAAAAAUAUUGAAUCACAUUGUUUUGCAUAAAUUUUUACGGAAAUUCUUAAGGUCUCAAGUAAGCAUCUGAAUGCCAUUUAAAUAAAAUUAAGCUUUAAAAACCCAA